ensembl:lncRNA
CCCUCAGGCAGCUCAGCUGGAGAAAAUGCCAAUGCUUGCCACUGGUUCAUUGUAACAGACAUGACCUCGUAGUCUGUUUUCAAUGAAUAAACACAGAAACACAUGAAUUAAGAAUGGCUUUGUAGUGGACUGUGGUGCUAACACCAUAAUAAAAUGCUCUUCACUGCUGUCCAUAUGAACAGGACAUUUCAGAAUACACAAAUAAAUGUAAAAUUAAAUAUACAAUUUGGUAAACAAAUUAGGAUGUGUAGGAUUUACCUCGAAACAAUCAGAAAUUCCAAGUCAAUUUCACAAAUAAUUACAAAGCAAUAAAAACAGCAAUUAACGUUGAAUUAAACAUGAAAUUUUCAAAGUAGAAUGGCCAUACAAGUGUUUUCUUGUCAAAUUUACUCUAAUAAACUAUGUUUUAUUUAAAACUUAGAAAAAUCUGAUUUUAUAGUGUAGUCAUUCCAUUUUAAAAAUGACACUUUAAAUUCAUAUUUAAAAUGGCCAUUUGAUAGUUUGAAAUGACUAAUAAAUAGUCUUAAAUUAUCAGUUGACAUAUCAUGACUAAUUUUGUUUUGUUUUCUUAGCUGCUGGAUGGUUUGGAUGUCCUGAUGAGUAACCCGUUGGGUCUCCUUAAGCAGCAGUUCAUCGCUCAGAGUCUCAUUGGAACCUUCGGGAAUCUCACUGUCGACCAGAUCAGGAGGUUAGCUAAAUACAGUGUUUUUUCUACUCCAUUAAAAUGAAAUUAAUACAAUUCCUUUUUUCAGAUUUUUCAGAUGUGUAAAAUGUAAAUGUAAAAAGCAAAAAAAAAAAAAAAGUAUCCUCUCACACCCCUCCAGGUUAGGUAAUCUGUCCUGUCUGGCUCACCCCAGCCAGCUGAUGGCAUAUGCAGGAACAGAAGCCUUCUCAGUGAUCCAGGACAACAUCAGGACGUGUGCGGUCCAGGGUUUUAGUGUUCCUAGCAAUAUGAUUUCCAGCUUGGUCUUGAAAUCGUCUGACCUGCAGUUUCCCUCCAGUCUCACUCCUCAGAGAGUCUCUGAGCUUGGCCCUUUUCUGCCCCUGCUGGGAUCCAGUGUCCUGCAGCAGCUGACCUCAGCCCAGCUCAUGCCUGCCCUCAGCACCCUCGCCUCUGUGCCUUUCACCCCUGCACAGGUACUGUGCGCACCAUUUUUGCCACACAUGCAUACUUUUGCAACACAAGGCAAAUAAUUUAACAAAAUCUGCAGGCCACAAAUAUUUCUUACCAGUCACGAUUCUAUUUUGCAUUAUUUAUUUUUUAAAAAUGUAUAUAUGUUCUUAUGACAGUGAGUUUUUCCCCCUACGUAUUUAUGACACAGCACAGACAGUCAUUGUGUCAUGGCAAGUCAUAGGCAAGGCAAUUUAUUUAAAUAGCACUUUAUUUCAUACACAGUGGUAAUACAAAGUGUUUCCCAAAAAAAAGAAUAUUUGAAAAAGAUAUAGUUACAUAAAGGUUAAAAGAAAUAACAAUGAAAAUACAAUAAAAAUCUGAAAAGUUGAAGAAAGAAGUAAAAA